UAAAUUUCUGGGGGAAGCGCUGGAACAAACAGCCAGUGCUGCAUCUGGGAUGUAUGCUCACGAUGAUCCAGUGUAAACGCAAUAAAGCGCCUUGGGAUAUUUUGUAUUAAUUUGAAUCCACAGCCAGGCGCCACCUUUCGGAUUCACUUCCAAAGCUUUCAAAGCACUCCAAAAACUGUCCACCAGGCUGGAUGUUUUAAACAAAGGGGAGGGGGUGUUGUUGAAACGAACCGUCUUUAUGUUGAAGCCUGGAACCUGCAGUCGGUCACAGUCUCAUAAGUUGGAAAACCUCCAUAUUUGGCUCUACACACUUUAUUCCCCACCCCAGGAGUUUCCAGCUGAAAGACACAAUACUGCUACACUGCCUUGUACCUGAGUGUGAAAAACCCAGGAGUCCUGCCUGCUCAGCCCCCACCUCUUCGAGCUGGGAGGGGAACCCAGGCACCCUGAGAAUCCUUCUAGGCCACAGAUGAACAGACUCUCGGCUCUCCAAGACCACCCAGUUCUUCUCCCGGAGAUGGAAGCGGAGGCUCUUACUUCCUAGCGACAAGCGUCUCCUCUGAGCAGAGGCUGUUCCCGACUCUCCACCGCAAACCACUAGACUUCUCUUCCCUCUCGCUUCAAAGCUGGACAUGGAAAACCGCGAUUCUGUGGAUGGGCAGACCUCUCCCCCUAUGCGCGCGGCGGCGGCAGAGGUGCAGGUCCCAACUGCUGUUCCAGACUCCCCUCCCUCUGGGGAGACAACCCAGGCGUCCUGGCUCUCCCGGAUGCGCCUCCCCAGCCCCCUGCCCGGCCCCGCUGGAGUUGGGAGGGGGAAGCAAGAGGAGGAUCGCCGACCCACCAAACCCCCAAACUCUCUCCUGAACAGUUGGGGGCUCAUUCGCCACAAAAGCUUCAGCUCCUACCAAUUGCGCAGCCUCUCGAGACUAGGGGAAAAGCGCACGCAUUAUUAUUAGAUCCAGGCUCAAGGCGAGGGACCCCAUCGCCCUCAUGUCUCCGACGCACAGAGGGUUUGUUUUUUUUACCUGCGCACUGGCGCCGCUUUGCUGUGCCCCCUCCCAGGAAGGGCUUUUCCGUCCCGGCCAGCCUCUGAGCUCCGGCAGCCGGCUCCAUCAACAAGUCCCCAGCCAGCAAGCCGCGGCGCUCCCAGGCAGCUCUCACCGCUUGGGCGCAAACAUUGCGCGCAGGAUCGGCGCUUGGAGAGGGGAUGUGCGCGCGCCCCUUUAAUUUUCGGAAUACCCUCUUUUCUCUGCGAUCAAAAUUUUAAGUAUUUCCCCCUUUCAGUGUUCUCGCAUCCCUCCACCCGCCUUGCAAGACACCGGAUUCCCCUCAAGCGCAAAAUAAAGAAGGCGCGCGCGCACAGCCCGCCUGCGCUGAUAUAUAAGCGCUCCGAUCUCAACUCGCUUCUCUUUAACUCCCCGAGCCAAGCUUUUGGCAAGAAAAA